rfam:Gossypium raimondii Chr02_contig_28, whole genome shotgun sequence.
UGUUAAAAUUUUCAUCCAUUCUAUUGUUAAAAAUUGGUGUGACUGACAAAACAACUAAACAAAUAUGUGUGGCAUGCCAUGUAUACCUCAUGUUGACAUACAAUGACCGAUUUUUAACAGUAAAAAUGGAUGCAUUUUUAACA